AGGAGCCGUAUGAUGGGAAACUAUCACGUACGGUUUUGUAUGGGAGGGGGAGAAGGUGACUUCUCUCUCGACACUAC
rnacentral:ncRNA from 1 species